rnacentral:lncRNA from 1 species
GACCUGCACACCUCCCAUGUAUAACAUUCUCUUUCUACUCUCUCCUUCUUAGGAGCUGUUCUGCAUCCGUGGAGUUGAAAGGGUUUAUGGCUCAUAAAAAGAACUGACAAGCUGUAUUUCAUGAGGAUUCACUUGGAUUUCUGUCCCUGCCACCCUAAUGCUCACCAGAACAGAGAGCCCUGCAGCAUUUCUGGGCAGUGGGAAAAUGCAAUUAUCUCACCCUACAAAGGGAAGGACACAAGGCAGAGUCACUCACCCAAAUUCCUACAGGCAGCCAGCAGCUCACCCUGUUCAGUGCCCUACCCACUCAACUCCUCCCUGGAGGAACAAGCUCCUGACACCAGUGGCAGAAAACAGAUCCACUUUCCAGUACAGAGUUAAGAGAGGGAUUUGCCCUUCGUCUGUAAACCAGCCUUGCUUAGAGCUGUUCUCCAUGCCAAAGCACAGUUUUUGGAGAAGCAAUGUUAUUAAUCUGACAACGUGCCAUGGAAGCUCUCUGUCACCUUGUCCUAAAACAAAAACUCCAGUGUCUCCACUGCUGCUGAGCAGUUGCCUCUGCGUUUGGGCAAGUGCUGAGGACACAGGAGGCUGA